ensembl:lncRNA LINC02981 long intergenic non-protein coding RNA 2981
GGGCCUUCCCCACUGGCUUCAGAGGCGUGACUGAGGGCAAGAAGGAAGAGCCAAGAUUCUGUCUACAUGUGUGAUCGACAAUGUUAAUUCUCAUAUUGUACAUUGUGCCAUCUCUCCCUGAACUUUAUUGAUGUUUUGAAGCAAAACAACCAUUUACUCCUCUCCUAAAGAUUCCAGUUAAUGAGGUGCGCACAGAUUUACUAUCAAUAAAUUGGCUGCACUUAUUAGAUGGCAGAGCCCUAAGAUGUUGGUGGGAGUAUUUCAAAUGGAAUUAACAUGAAGAGAUGCAGAGCUGUAUACUAUCAUCUGUGAAAUAUGGAGAAGGACAAGCAAUACAUAAACAGGGAAAAAGAGAAUAAUCUGAUCUACCUCUGCGGGUGCUGGUAAGGAUUAAAUAAGAAGAUACAUGCAGACCCAGCAUGGUGCCGAGCACACUAAGCAUUCAGCAAAUGGGGUCAAGAUUUGAGCACCUAAGACACUCAGCAAUGGAGGUGACUCUGUGGAAGUUAGGGUGGCACAUUCAUUUCCACGAACUGUUUCUUGGGACAACAACAAUAAAAAGGCAUGGAGGAAGUAAUUACAGCUGGAGCCACAGAUCUUGCACAUGGCAGCAGGAGUUGUUUUGCCUGUUGGAGAUUAAGAGUACCAGAGAUGUCUCCAAGAGCACCAGCAACCCCAGCUAUCUGGAUCUGAAGUGGAUAUGCUCAGAGACAUCCUGGCCCACCCCAAAGAAGAUGCUGCUGCACUCAGAAGACGCCAGAGCUAGCCACCACCCACACUGCAAGUCUGGAAGCUCUGCAAGGACCCAGCAAGGCAGCCUGCUCAGCGAAGGCUUUGUCUCCUGUGGCAGGAAGAGCAACAUUAAGAACAAGAACCCCGGGCUGGACUACCCCUGAGAUUUAAUGACCAGAGCUGAGACCCCCAAGACCACAAUGACUAUGGAGGGCUGUCAUUACCCUGCCUGACCCUCUAAUGCCUCUCAGUUCAAGGAGGCCACUGAGUGAAACUGAAGGCUGGUUUUCCUUGGAAGCCAGCGGCCCAUCCACCUGCUCCACUUCCCUGCCUCUUGCAGCCUCCGCUCAAACACUGUCGUGGCUUGGCAGCACUACAAGGCAGAGUGAAAACAGAUACUUCUACCCACAUUCCUAUCUCCUCUCAUUUACGCAGAUUAAAUGCUUUCUUUCCUUGUUUUA